AGAUUGAACGCUGGCGGCAUGCUUUACACAUGCAAGUCGAACGGUAACAGGCCGCAAGGUGCUGACGAGUGGCGAACGGGUGAGUAAUGUAUCGGAACGUGCCCAGUCGUGGGGGAUAACGCAGCGAAAGCUGCGCUAAUACCGCAUACGAUCUAUGGAUGAAAGCGGGGGACCGUAAGGCCUCGCGCGAUUGGAGCGGCCGAUAUCAGAUUAGGUAGUUGGUGGGGUAAAGGCUCACCAAGCCAACGAUCUGUAGCUGGUCUGAGAGGACGACCAGCCACACUGGGACUGAGACACGGCCCAGACUCCUACGGGAGGCAGCAGUGGGGAAUUUUGGACAAUGGGCGCAAGCCUGAUCCAGCAAUGCCGCGUGCAGGAAGAAGGCCUUCGGUUGUAAACUGCGUUUGUACGGAACGAAACGGUCCGUGGUUAAUACCGUGGGAC
rnacentral:rRNA from 1 species